rnacentral:misc_RNA from 1 species
AACGCACAUUGCGCCCUCUGGUAUUCCGGAGGGCAUGCCUGUCCGAGCGUCAUUAUCCCCCCUCAAGCCCUAGCUUGGUGUUGGACCUCUGGUCGUUCUGACCGGUCCCAAAGAUAAUGACGGCGUCCCCAGGACUCCUUGGUGCAACGAGUUACCACGUAACACGCACCGCAGGUGGCCUGGAGACCUGUCCCAACCUCCACAAUUUUCAAGGUUGACCUCGGAUCAGGUAGGGAUACCCGCUGAACUUAA